CGCCUUGGGUCCUACCCAGUAACUGGGGGCUAUAAAUUGGGGUUCAGAAGCCAGGCAAGGCCCCAAACGCAAGUAACGGCAGUCGAGACCACAUCAACAUCCGACCAUGGCUAAGCUUGCCUGCCCUCAGCGUUCGAUUCAAAGAAGCUCCCAUCACUCGAAGGCCCCGACCCGCAAACGAAGGUACAAGCCAUCAGCUGAAAGAGUAAAGAGGAGGAGAGCUCGGCGAAGGAGGAGGCAAGCACCCCAGCAGAGAAGGAACUGAUUUGGCCCCCGAAGACCCAACCUCUAGCUAGGGGAAUGUGACGCUGAAUACACACCUGAUGCGGAAGGACUCACACCAUGAACCAAUCAGAACGUCAUCAGGAUUUGUAAACCGAGCGUCACACUCCAAUAAAUGAGCAAUGAGCAUGC